AACAGGAUUAGAUACCCUGGUAGUCCACGCCCUAAACGAUGUCUACUAGUUGUCGGGUCUUAAUUGACUUGGUAACGCAGCUAACGCGUGAAGUAGACCGCCUGGGGAGCACGGUCGCAAGAUUAAAACUCAAAGGAAUUGACGGGGACCCGCACAAGCGGUGGAUGAUGUGGAUUAAUUCGAUGCAACGCGAAAAACCUUACCUACCCUUGACAUGGCUGGAAUCCUUGAGAGAUCAGGGAGUGCUCGAAAGAGAACCAGUACACAGGUGCUGCAUGGCUGUCGUCAGCUCGUGUCGUGAGAUGUUGGGUUAAGUCCCGCAACGAGCGCAACCCUUGUCAUUAGUUGCUACGAAAGGGCACUCUAAUGAGACUGCCGGUGACAAACCGGAGGAAGGUGGGGAUGACGUCAAGUCCUCAUGGCCCUUAUGGGUAGGGCUUCACACGUCAUACAAUGGUACAUACAGAGCGCCGCCAACCCGCGAGGGGGAGCUAAUCGCAGAAAGUGUAUCGUGGUCCGGAUUGUAGUCUGCAACUCGACUGCAUGAAGUUGGAAUCGCUAGUAAUCGCGGAUCAGCAUGUCGCGGUGAAUACGUCCCCGGGUCUUGUACACACCGCCCGUCACACCAUGGGAGCGGGUUUUACCAGAAGUAGGUAGCUUAACCGUAAGGAGGGCGCUUACCACGGUAGGAUUCGUGACUGGGGUGAAGUCGUAACAAGGUAACC
rnacentral:rRNA from 1 species